rnacentral:rRNA from 11 species
GAAGCGAAACGCAGAACGAAUGGCAGGUAUCUUGGCGUGAUUCUCAGCAAGUUCGAACGCGGACUGCCCGUCGAAU